GAUGAAUGCUGGCGGCGCGCCUAACACAUGCAAGUCGAGCGGAAAGGCCCUUCGGGGUACUCGAGCGGCGGACGGCUGAGUAACGCGUGGGAACAUGCCCCAAAGUGAGGAAUAACUGCCCGAAAGGGUAGCUAAUACCGCAUAUGAUCUUCGGAUUAAAGGAUUUAUCCGCUUUGGGAGUGGCGCGCGUACGAUUAGGUAGUUGGUGAGGUAAAGGCUCACCAAGACUACGAUCGUUAACUGGUCAGAGAGGAUGAUCAGUCAGACUGGAACUGAGACACGGUCCAGACUCCUACGGGAGGCAGCAGUGAUGAAUCUUCCACAAUGGGCGAAAGCCUGAUGGAGCGACGCCGCGUGAAGGAUGAAGGCCUUCGGGUUGUAAACUGCUUUUAUAAGUGAAGAAUAUGACGGUAACUUAUGAAUAAGCACCGGCUAACUACGUGCCAGCCGCCGCCGUAAAA
rnacentral:rRNA from 1 species